CUGUAGUUCUGUGGCCGGGAGGACUCUGUCCCCCUGCUGUGGUUCUAUAUCUUUACACACACACACUGUAAUAAAGUCUUAUGGAAUGUAUGCAGCGUCUAACGCAAUACAAUACAACUUUCAGCAACGGAUCUCUUGGCUCUCGCAUCAAUGAAGAACGCAGCGAAAUGCGAUAAGUAAUGUGAAUUGCAGAAUUCAGUGAAUCAUCGAAUCUUUGAACGCACCUUGCGCCCUUUGGCUAUUCCGAAGGGCAUGCCUGUUUGAGUAUCAUGAACACCUCAACUCUCGUGGUUCGCCAUGAUGAUCUUGGACUUUGGAGGACUUGCUGGCCUGUGGUCAGCUCCUCNCAAACNAAUCAGCUUGCCNGUGUUUGGUGGCAUCGCAGGUGUGAUAAAUAUCUACGCUUGUGGUUUCUGCCANAUAACCUUCACAAUGGAGGUUCAUUGGAGCUCAAAACGUCUCUCCUCAGCGAGGACA
rnacentral:rRNA from 1 species